rnacentral:rRNA from 1 species
UGGGGAAUAUUGGACAAUGGGCGCAAGCCUGAUCCAGCAAUGCCGCGUGAGUGAUGAAGGCCUUAGGGUUGUAAAGCUCUUUCGGCGGGGACGAUGAUGACGGUACCCGCAGAAGAAGCCCCGGCUAACUUCGUGCCAGCAGCCGCGGUAAUACGAAGGGGGCAAGCGUUGUUCGGAAUUACUGGGCGUAAAGGGCGCGCAGGCGGCCAUUCAAGUCAGAUGUGAAAGCCCCGGGCUUAACCUGGGAAUUGCAUUUGGGACUGGACGGCUAGAGUUCGGGAGAGGUGGGUGGAAUUCCCAGUGUAGAGGUGAAAUUCGUAGAUAUUGGGAAGAACACCGGUGGCGAAGGCGGCUCACUGGACCGAUACUGACGCUGAGGCGCGAAAGCGUGGGGAGCAAACAGGAUUAGAUACCCCUGUAGUCC